ensembl:lncRNA
AACCAUGGUAUUCCAGGCUCCUCCCUUCCUGAAAAGAGGAUGAGGACCGGGCUACGCUCUGUUUUGAAACAACUCCUUAACUAGCAAAGCAAACAACUGUAUUGAAGUGGAAUCCCUUGUCUGGUCCUUUAUUUUCUGAUGCUUCCCUGCUGGAAAAGGCUGUUUCAGUGGAGCACUGACAUCCGGCAACCCUUUGAAAGACACCAGGGACCUAAAGAACGUCGAUGCUGUCAGAUUUCCAGACCUGAAUUCCUCCCCAUAAUACCCAGGCUUGCAGCCAAUUUGGCUGCCUUGGAGCAGCUGUAUCUUUAAAAAAUGCUUGAUGUGUAUUCACAAUUCAAAAAACAAAAGAAAAACAUUGCAGAAUGAUUAAGAGAGGCAGGUGUAUGAUGAUGUGGAGCAACAAAGUCACCUGUGAGGACAACUCAAGCAGAGAUGACCUUCCUAAAUUCCAUAUCACUAAUUCCGCUCCUCAGAGAGUGCGUUUUAGCAUUUGUAUCCUAGCAUGAUAUUUUCUUUAUCUAUAUCUGAUCCUAUACACAGCUGCUAUGAUACCACAAAAACAAACCAGCUGGGGAGAUCAGUAGGCUGCUUCUGAGUCCAUUCUUAUGAAGAUUAACUGCUCCUCAGAAAAUGAUCGUUCAUGGAUGGUUUUUGGCAGGAAGCAAAGGGGAGGGAAGAAUUUUCUUUUACCCUAAAUUUUCUCUGCUUGAAAAUUUAGGGUAAAUGUUCUCUUUCACAUAUUGCUGAUCUAUAUGAUACAUAUAUCCUGAAACAUCGCUUGUGCAAUGGGAGUAAAAAAAUACAGCUGAACUCCAUUAAGCUACCACAGUGAGUGUAAUAAGCUUAGGGGCUCUAGAACAUUUUUAUUUAAUAUGAAGAUCGUUAUUCAGCUCAAAAGUCAUGGGAAGUUCGAUCUACAAGGGAAAACUUUUCUACUUACUCUAUUAGGGAAACGAUACUAGCACUUUAGAAAGGAAUCCUAAAGAAAUUUUAUCCAGAAGAGAAUGUGCCAUUUUAGUUAUAACAAGAUAACGGGCAGAACUGUAACAGGACUGUGGAUCCACUUAACAGAAAAAAAUAUGAACGAAAGGCACUAAUCAGCACUAGUGUUGUUUGCAACAUUAAAUUUGGAGGAAUUGCCUCCAAAGGUAUUUCACAUAAGAAUGCAAUCUGAUGGAGAGGGAUUACAUGUUUCGGUUUGGGUUUUUUUUUUUGUUUGUUUGUUUUGUUUUGUUUUUUAAAUACUCCAUGAGCUGACUGCCUUACUUCACUUUUUUUUUCUUUUUUCCCCAGACGUAUUUUAUGCUGAAUAAUAUUUGUAAGGGCUGCUUAGAGACUGAGCUUAUAUGCAUUGAGCAAAUAUAAAGGUCUGACCGCUGUGUACCAGCUGGUAAAUAAAGCAUUCCUCAUAUUUAUUUUUACUUUUUAAAAACUCACUCCAUUUUCCAGGACAGUUUGUGUGACUCAGAUGUUGUGCACUUCUUCACCAGUUCAACAGAUUUAACACCUCACAUACUUCCUUGAGUGGUUGAAACUUUAACGUGAUAAAAUGCCUAGUAUAGAUUAGAGUACAUAUUCCUUCUGUAAUGUGUUCCUCUCAGCACAUCUUCAGAGAGGAUUUUGUAGUACAGAUGUUUCCCAAAGCAACAGAACUAUGAAAGCACCCACCCUCAGUAUGUGUUUACCUUGGAAUAGCCUCUUGAGUGGCUUUUUUCCCUACACAAAUAGACUUCCCCACAGAGACAUAAUUUCCCCACUGUGCAAAUUAGAAAGCUUAUUAAACAGAACUUCCU